GAUUAGGACGGAGGGAUCCUCUUGCGGGACAGUCCUGGUACCUGGGGUAGCCGAGGUUGCCUUCCCAUCCCUCCUUCAUCACCGGUGGAGUCCCAGGGUGACAGUCCCAGCCUGCAUUUUUGGUGGAAAAUUAGAUGGAGUGAGAAGCCCCCUGCGGACUCCCAGCUGGAUGGAAAAGACAGGAGGAGAAAAGGACAAAGACAAACAGGAAAAAAAAAACAAACCCUUCCCAACCAAGAUGACAACAGAUGGGAGCUGUGGGUCUCUGGCACCUGCUGCUGAUGGACGGCUGCCUGCAGCCCUUCUGCGCCCUGAGGGCUCUGCCAUCACCCACAGACCAGGCAAUCCUGGCCUGGUACCUGCGCCCAGCACCAACAGAUGGGCAGAAUGGACGGGGUGGGCCACCCAGCCAGGCCACCUCUCCCCAGACCCCUGCUGCCAGCCACCAGCGCCAGCCUCGGGGACCUCCGGCCGUCCCUACCGACAGUGUUUGCCAAAGACAGGAGGCUGGAGGUGGACAGACCGCACGGUGGGCAGAAGAGGCUCGAGGGAGCCGCCCAGCGCUGGCCCUGCUGGGGACAGACAUGCCAUACAGGUACUUUGGGACCCCUGGGAGGGUCCUACGUCCAGCCUCCAUCUCGGUCCUCUGGCCCCUUCUCCUUGCGGACCUCAUUUGGAAGGACACAUCUCUCUAUGCAAUUUGUCCCCACCCCACCCCGGCAUGAGAGGCCACGCAGCUCCCGACCCUCCGGCCUCCUCUCGCACAUGGAAGGUAUCAGCACUUUGAGAAACAGAGGUGGGGGAACCGGGGGCCCCCCACGCCGAGGUUCCUGGAGGCGGGAGGUGCCGCGAUCUAAGUGCCUAGCCCUUCCACCCACCCGCCGUCCACCUCGUCCAUCGGGGACACAGAGUGGCCAGGGCACCCCACCCUUGUCUCCGUGUACCCUAGCUCCCCAUCACUGCGCGCCCUCCAAGCUAGAGAGAUGGGACCCCAGGGGGGGUUAGAGCUGGGUGUCCCGAAAACCCAGGCUGGGGCUAUGCGCCGUCCCCCUACACUUCUGCCAGUGCCUUACUUCCUGGAGACCCACCCUGGGGUACCCCACUGCAGGGGGGUACCCCCUUUGCACUUUGACCCUCCUGAUGACGUGGGGCCCAGCACAGGGACCAAGAAGGCUGGUGGAAGUGCACUCAGACCCCAGGUGGGAGGGCUCUGGGAGUGAUGGGGUGACAGGGUGGACUGAUGGCUGGGGUCCCCCAUCUGCUAUGCGUACUUCACUGACCUAUAAACACUAAGAUGGGGUGCAAGGGCCCAGCCCCAGCUCCACAGCCCCCAUAUGCACCCACCCUGUCGCUAUCUUGGAUGGCCCGCUCUGGGAGAUGUUGGGUGUUUUAAGGUUACUGAACCUACAAAGGCCCCUCCUCCCUGACCACCCAUCUUGGCCCGUCAUACCUAGCGCUGUCAUGUCCCCUCCCCGCAGAGGCCGCAGGCCAUCACCCCAGCAGAGCCCCCAGGGCCAGGCCCCACCCACCUGCCACCUGUCCUCCCUGGGACACUUGUAAGUACAAAGCUCCCCAGCCUUUGAGGCCUCAACCCCCCACCAUCUGUCUGUCCUCAGGGACCCUCCAGUAGGGGGACCAUUGGGGACAUCACAGAAGCCACUGUCCAGAUGGGGCUCAGGCCAGUGGGUGUGGGAUGGGCCAUCUGCAGGAUAGACCUGGCAAGUCCCCUCUGAUACCCCCAAGCCAGCCAGCCGGGUCCCCCAGGGGUCAGGACAGAACCAACUAUUUACCUAACUGCAUGGUGCUUAAGGCCCCGCGACACCCAAGAGCCCCCUCCCCUGCCGGGCUGCUGUGUGCAUGACAGGUCCACCUACCUGCCCACUUCCCUCACCGCCUCUAUUAAAAAAGGAAAGAAAAAAAAAGGAUACACAAAAUAUAUAUAUAAAUAUAUAUAUAUAUCCUUACC
rnacentral:lncRNA from 1 species